GACCAGACUCCUACGGGAGGCAGCAGUAGGGAAUAUUGCUCAAUGGGGGAAACCCUGAAGCAGCAACGCCGCGUGGAGGAUGAAGGUUUUCGGAUUGUAAACUCCUUUUGUUAGAGAAGAAAAUGACGGUACCUGAAGAAGAAGCCCCGGCUAACUACGUGCCAGCAGCCGCGGUAAUACGUAGGGGGCAAGCGUUAUCCGGAUUUACUGGGUGUAAAGGGGGCGCAGACGGCGAUGCAAGCCAGGAGUGAAAGCCCGGGGCCCAACCCCGGGACUGCUCUUGGAACUGCGUGGCUGGAGUGCAGGAGGGGCAGGCGGAAUUCCUGGUGUAGCGGUGAAAUGCGUAGAUAUCAGGAGGAACACCGGUGGCGAAGGCGGCCUGCUGGACUGCAACUGACGUUGAGGCCCGAAAGCGUGGGGAGCAAACAGGAUUAGAUACCCGAGUA
rnacentral:rRNA from 1 species